GAAAUAAACGUCCCAGUUCGGAUUGUAGUCUGCAACCCGACUACAUGAAGCUGGAAUCGCUAGUAAUCGCGAAUCAGAAUGUCGCGGUGAAUACGUUCCCGGGUCUUGUACACACCGCCCGUCACACCAUGGGAGUCGGAAAUGCCCGAAGUCAGUGACCCAACCGUAAGGAGGGAGCUGCCGAAGGUGGAGCCGGUAACUGGGGUGAAGUCGUAACAAGGUAUC
rnacentral:rRNA from 1 species